rnacentral:rRNA from 1 species
UGGCUGGCUAGUUGCGCGGCACCUUCUAUACACCAUGGAUACUUUUAUUGUAUUUGCUUUGCCUGGUUGCAGUUCUGUGCCGGGCAGAGAGUUUAAACCCAAAAAUUUUUAUUAAUUUUUUUUACWACCAAAAUMUUAGUCACAGUUUUUUAAUUACAAAAAAAAAAUUUAAAACUUUCAACAACGGAUCUCUUGGUUCUCGCAACGAUGAAGAACGCAGCGAAUUGCGAUAAGUAUUGUGAAUUGCAGAUUUUCGUGAAUCAUCGAAUCUUUGAACGCACAUUGCACCCUCUGGUAUUCCGGAGGGUAUGCCUGUUUGAGCGUCAUUUCUCUCUCAAAGCGCAAGUUUUGGUAUUGAGUGGUGCUCUCUGGAGCUAACUUGAAAUAUUGUUGGUGUUGUGUGCUCCGAGCAGACUGAGUCCGCGUAAUGUAUUAGGUUCUGCCAACUCGUUACAGGAAUUCUCAGGAUUUGUGGGGAGCGCGGGCGACGCCUAACAAGCCGGGAUUUCUUUCUAGAUCUCUAGGAGGGAAGCCCAAAAAGUUUGACYUCAAAUCAGGUAGAC